AGUGCCUCAUUGUUGGAACUGACACCAACUGCAACUGUUCUACAAAUUAUCUUUGGAGCAAUGAAGUGUGCUACAACUACAGCUGCUGUGGGGAUGCUACUUGCACACAAAAUGUAUCCUACAUCACACCCCUCUGUUCUCCUAAAGUUCAAGUUUUCAUCAAUGGAUCAGUACAGACUGCAGCAUGGGAUCAAACCAAAAACACAACGCUUCAAAGCCAAUUUCAAAAACUGAAUGCUAUUCAGUAUGUGAACGUUACUGGUCCAAGGUAUUGUACUUUAUAAAGAAAUAUGUUAUAAAGUCAGUGUUUUGUCUUUUGUUUUGUUUUUUCAAAACAACACCACUUCUAAUCGUGACACCACUUGGUUUAUUAUAGGUGAGUUUUUUGUGAUGACAAUGAUACUUAACAAAGGCUACUGCCACUGAAUCAGUGUCAGCCAGUGUCUUCAGGGCUGUUUCGGAGACAUGAGCUUUAAUGCUGAUUGAUGCAUGGAAACACUGAAACAGUGGCAAAUAACUCUUCGUAAAAUUCUGACUUAUUAACUAUUUCAAUAACUCUGCACAGCUGAUGACAAAUGCCUAGUGCCAUUCCCUGGCAAUAGAGGGGACAGCAAUUGAAAACUGCACUGGUUUCAUUUAAUGGAGAACAAAAGGCUUAAAGUGAAAGAUACUUUUUUUUUUUGGAGACACUGCAAUAUGUAAUAUAAUGGAAGUUUGGUCAACAAUGGGAAUCAAGCAUGUACACUUUUAGAGACUGACAAGCAUUACCUUUUAGUGCAAAACAUAUGCACAACAGAUAAAAUGUACUGCUUCUAAUGUUAAAUGUUCUCUGUAACAAAUAUUUUUUCCAUCAUUCUCUACAGAAUCAUCUCCAUAUCCACUCAAGUGCUAAACGUUGCUGACUUUCAGGUAGCUGUUAGUGUCAGCGUGCUAACUUCUAAACUUCAAGAAAUAGUCACUUUUCUUGAAACUCAGCUUUCAGCUACUAUAUUUGUGGACACUCUAGGAAUGGUCAUUGUAGAGGCCCCAGGGACUAAAGUUUGCUAUCAGUCCACGCCGCAACUUGCAUGCAAACUUGAGGAGCCCACAGGCAGCGCAGGCUGGAAUAUGACCACACAGACUCAGCGCUUUGAGCUCAACAAUGGCAGUGUGGUCCAGCUGAAUCAGACAUGUGCCACAUCCAUUUACCAAUCUUGUAUUGGUGUUACACUCAAAGGGGUGACAGGCAUUUGGGAAGGCACAUAUGAGUGUGGAUUUACGAUUGGUUCAAUCAGGCACACAGGCAGGACUUUUCUGAGUGUGGCCCUCCUGCCUGACACUAUUACCAUGAGUACCAUGCCUCUUACUAUGGACUGUUCAAAGAGUCCGCAAAGUGUAAACAUCACUGCCAGUGUCAUAAUCCCAGCAAGCAGUAAGAGCUAUGACAUUUCGUGGAGCUACAAUGGUUCGGCGACAAACUACACAGCCGUACAAAACACAACUUCAAAGGGUUACGUUAACUACACGUUCACUCCUACCAUCCCCUGCACAAAAGGAAGUGGAACUUAUGUUAACAUCACUUUUAAAAAUGAUGUGAAUCAAAUGAAAAGUGCACAAAUAAACAUUCCAGUUAUCAAUGCUAAUGACAUAGUUUGUAACCAGAUCAUACUUAAUGGAGAUACAUGGCCAGAAACCCCAGCUGGAGAAACAGUGAUUAUUCGAACAUGCCCACCAGGAAGGGUUGGCUAUAAGUCCCGGACUUGUAUCGGCCCUGCUUGGCAGGACGUGUUCUCCAGCUGCGUCAGUGAAGAAUUGGACAAAGUUUCAAAUGCAGCUCAAGCCUUCCUGAAGGGACUAGGGGCUACCCCGGAAGUGGCCAAGAAUAUAUUUGAAGGGCUAAAGAACAGCUCUACAUUAAGUUCUGGAUCCGGUGAAAGUAUAGCUGACGUUAGCGCCUCCAUCGGUGUUCUAAAUAUGAUGGCUAAGGCAUCAAACACAACUGUGUUGGGAGAGGAUAUCUUUCCUGUAAGCACCUCUACUUUUUCUGUUAUACCUGUAUGGUUCUGAAUUUAAAAGUUCAGGCUUCACUUUAAAAGAAGAAUUAAUCCUCAACAUAUAAGGUUCUACUUUGUCAGAUCUCAUGUCUAACUAACAAUUUGUCAAGAUAGUUUGAGUCACUGGUGUGCACUGAACUUUACAGACAGACAAAUAGUAAUAACACCACAAAGUAAAAAUUCCUCACCACAAAUGAACUGCGUAUUACUGACACAUUUUACUUAAAAUACCAAAAGUAAAAUUACUUAUGCUGCAGAAAACAUUUCCACCAGCAACAUUAUAUAGAUAAAUAUUACAGACAUUUAAGGUUAAGCUCAAUUUAAAUACUUUAAAUUUUGUUUAAUCUACAGUACUAUAAAAAAAAUUGCAUUUGUAGUAACAGUUCUGUGAGGAAUACAUAUGAAUGAGUUCAGAAAAACAGUCCCACAACUUUAUUUUUUUUAAGUAUGGUAAAAAAUAUUGAAAGAAUGAAUGAAGAAAUAAGAAAAUAAAAAGCUAAAAUAAUGUCCAUGAGCACUCUGUAAUACAGCAACAUAUAACACUCUAUAGGAGAACUAAAAGAACAGUUAAAAAAAAAUAAGUUAUACUGCUCAAACCUCCAAUAUAUUAAAAUAAUAUUAGUGGAUGGGAAUAAAAACUUUAGUCUGAUGUUUUUAGUGGAAUUGUACUCAGCUUCAAUCAGAAGGAAAAAAAGGAAAAUAAAAAAUAUAGCUCUAUUUUCUGUUGCCUGCAUUGUAGAGGGAGACUUUGCUUCUAAACAGGAAAAUGAGCACAGUUAAGGCUUAAAGUGUAUUCAGCAGGUGGGGGAACCAUAAAAUCAGUUGUAGUGGCUCAGUGUGGGGAAAAGACAGGCUGUGAUGAGCUGACCUGCUGCUCUUUGUAGCGUUACACAACUGAAUUCAAAAUGAUUUCAGCAGGUGUCUCAUGAGUUGUCCUUGCUGAUUUUCAUCCUCUACAUUGUGAUGGAAUAUUAAUCUCUCUUACACUUAAUGUAACAGACCAUGAGCAUUGCGUAGCCACUGUGCACUUGUUUUUCACUUUAAAUCCAUCACAGUACAGCAAACUAACCUGUUUCUUCCUUUCCUUUCCUGUCCUGUCUUUCUUAUCUUUCUCCAUCUCUGAGUCAGGCUAGCUCUCAUUCUUUUUUCUCCCUGUUAUAUACAACAGCUGGACCUUUAGCUGCAACACACUGUGCAUCAAACUGCACACAAACAGUUUGUUUGCUGAUGUUUGUUUAAGCUGAUAGAAAUGCUGUAUUUGAAAUGAACUGUCACUUUAAAAAAGUCACUCCCUUUAUGCUCACUCUCCUUUUGUAAGACUAGCUAGAUUCAGCCUGUACCUUACAACUUAGGGGGAAAAAAAGUCACAGGCUGAAUUCAGCCCUUAACUAUGGCACACAUCAUCUAUUUUUAUGCAACAUCCUUUGGUGAUUAUGGUACAGACAGGUAUGCCUUCCAUGUGUUACUGUUUAGGCUCAAAUUAUUUUCACAUUUAAAGGCUCGCAGCUACUUUUGCGUUAAACAAAAAGUAACGAGCCUGUUUUGAAAAUGUAAGGAGUAGAAAGUACAAUUUUUUUUUUUUAAAGUAGGGAGUAAACGUAAAAAGUAGUGAGAAAGUAUUUGUACGUCCCACCUCUGGUGCAAGAAAAAAAAAAGCAGAGGCUCUGAGGAAGAGAUGCCACACUUUUUUGAAAACUUUUUCCUCACAUCAUUUCAUUUACUGAACUUUGUUUUAGGAAUGAGGAAAUGCCAAGCCCAAAUGUAAGUGAAGGAGACUUUUAACAUGGAGAUUUGUUUUCCUCCAUGGACGUUGCAUGUUAGAAUUUUUGUUCAUUUUUUGGUAAGAAAAAUAAUUAUGUGUGUGGUGUACCUAUCUAGUGACGUCUUAUGUAGUAAACUGUUUGAUUGUGUUGGGAAAAGACAGAGUAUAUUAUUUUAUACUCUGUCGGCAUUUUGUAUGCAUUUCCUUUGCCAGCUGAUUGCAUACCCCUGUACACCCAGCCAUGAAAAGCUGGCAUGUCAGACUUCAACUUGUUGCUUUGGUUAUUCAGACAAAUUCUGCUCAUCGUUGCUUCACAGAUCUAUGUCUGUUUUUGAGAGCAGGGCUCUAUGGUGUAAAUUAGCCUUCAUGUGAAAAGUCACUGUUUAGUCAAACUAAUUUGUUUUUUCAUUUUACUGUCUUUCAGGAUU
ensembl:lncRNA